GCCACGUAUUCGUACAGCUGCCUUCAGUCAAGUGUCAUCUUUGAAUUAAGAGAUAAAGGGACUCAGUCAUCAUGUAUGUCAAUUCUGGAGCAGAAAAUGUGUCCAUGUCUUUCAACUUUAUGGGCAGGAAGUUACGUAACCAUACCGUUGCCCCGGCAGCAAAACAACGUGCAUGGGAGACCACUGACUGUUCUAAAUCUCAGGAUGAUCCGGUGGGCCCCACCCCAGUGGUACAUUCCCAUCCCAUUAUGUCGGCAUCAGAGGAACUGCCAGGCAGUGUGCCAGACCUGAGAGAAGAGGUUCAGUGGUGUAGAACAUGUAACAUCCACAACACACUCCUAGAUCAGUAUAAAGACAGAGGUGAAUUUAAAGUUGCAGAUGAAUCCUAUUACCUUCCAAGACCUCAACAUAUCCUAAACCCUUAAAAUUGUCUAAUAUUGUUCUAAUAUUUAGACUAACACUUAUUUAAUCUUAACAACUUAACAAUAUUAAUAAUACAUACCUAAACGUACUUUUAACUACGAUAUGACUGAUUUCAACUUAAUCACAUUUUUACAUUCUGACAACAAACACAAUAAACA